rnacentral:rRNA from 1 species
UACGUAGGGCGCAAGCGUUGUCCGGAAUUAUUGGGCGUAAAGAGCUCGUAGGCGGUCUGUUACGUCCGCUGUGAAAAGCUGGGGCUUAACCCUGGCCUUGCAGUGGAUACGGGCAGGCUCGAGUUCGGUAGGGGAGACUGGAAUUCCUGGUGUAGCGGUGAAAUGCGCAGAUAUCAGGAGGAACACCGGUGGCGAAGGCGGGUCUCUGGGCCGAUACUGACGCUGAGGAGCGAAAGCGUGGGGAGCGAACAGG